CCUACGGGAGGCAGCAGUAGGGAAUAUUGGACAAUGGACGAAAGUCUGAUCCAGCCAUGCCGCGUGCAGGAUGACGGCCCUAUGGGUUGUAAACUGCUUUUAUAUAGGAAGAAACCUUUCCACGUGUGGAAAGCUGACGGUACUAUACGAAUAAGGACCGGCUAACUCCGUGCCAGCAGCCGCGGUAAUA
rnacentral:rRNA from 1 species